CCUACGGGAGGCAGCAGUGAGGAAUAUUGGUCAAUGGACGAGAGUCUGAACCAGCCAAGUAGCGUGAAGGAUGACUGCCCUAUGGGUUGUAAACUUCUUUUAUAUGGGAAUAAAAUGUUCCACGUGUGGGAUUUUGUAUGUACCAUAUGAAUAAGGAUCGGCUAACUCCGUGCCAGCAGCCGCGGUAAUACGGAGGAUCCGAGCGUUAUCCGGAUUUAUUGGGUUUAAAGGGAGCGUAGGUGGAUUGUUAAGUCAGUUGUGAAAGUUUGCGGCUCAACCGUAAAAUUGCAGUUGAAACUGGCAGUCUUGAGUACAGUAGAGGUAGGCGGAAUUCGUGGUGUAGCGGUGAAAUGCUGAGAUAUCACGAAGAACUCCGAUUGCGAAGGCAGUUCACUGAACUGCAACUGACACUGAGGCUCGAAAGUGUGGGUAUCAAACAGGAUUAGAUACCCUGGUAGUC
rnacentral:rRNA from 1 species